ACUCAACGUAGGGUUUCAUGAAAGCCUCUUGUUGGAACUCUAAUACUUUAUGUAUUUUUUUCAAUUUUAGACCGAGUUGGAGAUACAGUUGCAGGUUGCGAUAGUGAAGUACAUAAUUCUGUUUGUUUUCUAAAGUGGUGCGGACUUGGAGAGAGCGGUGUUCUUGCAGUAGAAGAUGGUGUAGAUAGCUGACUGUAGCUGUGCUCGUUCUGAAGUUGUGAAGUGGUGAGAAGUCCUGUUGUAUGAUCUACAUUGCUUGUUGAAGAGGAGCUUUGGGUGUCGCUGCUUGGAGGUCGAAAGACAAUCAACGUCUGAGAGGGAAAUAUGUUGGUGCGCAAUUUAUACAACUUGUUUGAAUGUGGGCUUACAUCAACGACAGCAAGACUUGGCGAUCGACACUCUACUCUGUCAAAUGGAUAUUUAGCUGUGCUGUUUUUCAACAACUCUGCAUGAGCUACAAUAAGAGCUGGAUUGACUCUUACCUUCUUUGCUAUUCACUUUUCGCUUGAUUUACAAUUUGCUGUGUGGGGGAAGUCACGUUCAAUGUCAAGUCACUGCUCUCUGCGGAAGCCUUAUGAGAUAUGG